rnacentral:rRNA from 1 species
AGCGGCAGGCUUAAUACAUGCAAGUCGAACGGUAACAGGCGGUAGCAAUACUGCGCUGACGAGUGGCGCACGGGUGCGUAACACGUAUGCAACCUACCCUUAACUGGGGAAUAACCCUGUGAAAGCGGGGCUAAUACCCCAUAAUAUUAUGGUAAGGCAUCUUACUAUUAUCAAAGAUUUAUCGGUUAGGGAUGGGCAUGCGCCCCAUUAGUUAGUUGGUUAGGUAACGGCUAACCAAGACUGUGAUGGGUAGGGGUUCUGAGAGGAUUAUCCCCCACACUGGUACUGAGACACGGACCAGACUCCUACGGGAGGCAGCAGUAAGGAAUAUUGGGCAAUGGACGCAAGUCUGACCCAGCCAUGCCGCGUGCAGGAAGACGGCCUUAUGGGUUGUAAACUGCUUUUGUAUGGGAUUAAAGUGUUGUACGUGUACGACAUCGCAAGUACCAUACGAAUAAGCAUCGGCUAACUCCGUGCCAGCAGCCGCGGUAAUACGGAGGAUGCAAGCGUUAUCCGGAAUCAUUGGGUUUAAAGGGUGCGUAGGUUGAUUAUUAAGUCAGUGGUGAAAAUUCCGGGCUCAACCCGGGACUUGCCGUUGAAACUGAUAAUCUUGAGUGUAACUGAUGUGGGCGGAAUGUGUCAAGUAGCGGUGAAAUGCAUAGAUAUGACACAGAACACCGAUAGCGAAGGCAGCUCACAAAAUUACAACUGACACUGAGGCACGAAAGCGUGGGUAUCAAACAGGAUUAGAUACCCUGGUAGUCCACGCUGUAAACGAUGAUCACUAGCUGUUUGCGAUACAUUGUAAGUGGUUAAGCGAAAGCGAUAAGUGAUCCACCUGGGGAGUACGUCGGCAACGAUGAAACUCAAAGGAAUUGACGGGGGCCCGCACAAGCGGAGGAGCAUGUGGUUUAAUUCGAUGAUACGCGAGGAACCUUACCUGGGCUUGAACGUAUGGUGCAUGAGUGUGAAAGCACUCUUUCCUUCACAGGACUUCAUAC